rnacentral:misc_RNA from 1 species
CCGAGUCUUGCACUCCCAAAACCCUCUGUGGAACAUAACAAAUCCGUUGCCUCGGCGGGAGAGCCCCGGCUGUGGGCCGAAAGCCUCGCACCGGUAGCUCAGGCGCCCGCCGGAGGACCCAAACUAAAACUCUAGUAAUUCUAGUACCUUCUGAGUAUAACGUAAAUAAAGUA